GGUUGUAGCUCAGUGGCAGAGUAUCUGCUUUGCAUACAGAAGGGUCCUGGCUUUAAUCUCUGGCAUAGCUU